GACGAACGCUGGCGGCGUGCUUAACACAUGCAAGUCGAACGGAAAGGCGCUGAUUUUGUGGGGUGCUUGAGUGGCGAACGGGUGAGUAACACAUGAGUAACAUGCACUUGUCUGAGGGGUAACAUCAGGGAACAGGGGCUAUUACCGGAUAGGAGAUCCUGAUGCACGGUGGGGGAUGGUGAGAUCCGGCGGUUGGGGCUGGACUAGCGGGUUCUCAGCUGGAUGGUGGGGUAGGGGAUUACAAAGGCUAUGACGGGUAGGCGGCCCUAGAGGGUGACCGGCCACAUGGGUCCUGAGGUAGGGCCCAGACUCCUACGGGAGGCAGCGGUGGGAAAUAUGGCAGAAUGGCCGGAAGCGUGUUGCAGCGACGCUGCGUGCGGGAUGCCGGCCUUCGGGUUGUAAACCGCUUUCUCCGGAGACGAAGCGUGAGUGACGGUAAUGGGUAAAGAAGCACCGGCUAACUACGUG
rnacentral:rRNA from 1 species